UACAGAGGUCCCAAGCGUUGUUCGGAUUCACUGGGCGUAAAGGGUGCGUAGGUGGUGAGGUAAGUCGGAUGUGAAAGCUCGGAGCUCAACUCCGAAAUGGCAUUGGAAACUACCUUGCUAGAGGGUUGGGGGGGGGACUGGAAUGCUUGGUGUAGCAGUGAAAUGCGCAGAUAUCAGGAGGAACACCGGUGGCGAAGGCGGUUCUCUGGGCAUUACCUGACGCUGAGGAGCGAAAGUGUGGGGAGCGAACAGG
rnacentral:rRNA from 1 species